rnacentral:rRNA from 1 species
GUGGUGUGGCGGAGCUACCAUGCAGUCGAGCGGUAACAGAUCCAGCUUGCUGGAUGCUGACGAGCGGCGGACGGGUGAGUAAUGCAUAGGAAUCUGCCCGAUAGUGGGGGAUAACCUGGGGAAACCCAGGCUAAUACCGCAUACGUCCUACGGGAGAAAGGGGGCUUCGGCUCCCGCUAUCGGAUGAGCCUAUGUCGGAUUAGCUAGUUGGUGAGGUAACGGCUCACCAAGGCCACGAUCCGUAGCUGGUCUGAGAGGAUGAUCAGCCACAUCGGGACUGAGACACGGCCCGAACUCCUACGGGAGGCAGCAGUGGGGAAUAUUGGACAAUGGGGGGAACCCUGAUCCAGCCAUGCCGCGUGUGUGAAGAAGGCCCUCGGGUUGUAAAGCACUUUCAGCGAGGAAGAACGCCUAGCGGUUAAUACCCGCUAGGAAAGACAUCACUCGCAGAAGAAGCACCGGCUAACUCCGUGCCAGCAGCCGCGGUAAUACGGAGGGUGCAAGCGUUAAUCGGAAUUACUGGGCGUAAAGCGCGCGUAGGUGGCUUGAUAAGCCGGUUGUGAAAGCCCCGGGCUCAACCUGGGAACGGCAUCCGGAACUGUCAAGCUAGAGUGCAGGAGAGGAAGGUAGAAUUCCCGGUGUAGCGGUGAAAUGCGUAGAGAUCGGGAGGAAUACCAGUGGCGAAGGCGGCCUUCUGGACUGACACUGACACUGAGGUGCGAAAGCGUGGGUAGCAAACAGGAUUAGAUCCC